CUCUGUUUAUGUAGGAACUUUUCAGAGGAUGCUUCUGCAAAUGUAACUAUAUGAUGGUAAAUUCUAGCGAGGUUUAAACCAAGGAAUGUCAACAAGACAAGAUGAAAGUCUGCUCGAUGCAUGUGAAAGAGGGGAACUUCACAAAGUACAAGAGAUCUUGCAAAAAGACUCGGAUAUCAUCAACAGGUUGAAUCAACGUGGCGGUCUCUUGCGCAACACUCCAUUGCUCUACGCUGCAUAUCGCGGUCAUGUUGAUAUCUUACAACUGUUGCUUAACCAUGGUGCCAGUGUGAACGCGGUGAACAAU
rnacentral:lncRNA from 1 species